GACGAACGCUGGCGGCGUGCUUAACACAUGCAAGUCGAACGGAAAGGCCCUGCUUUUGUGGGGUGCUCGAGUGGCGAACGGGUGAGUAACACGUGAGUGACCUGCCCUUGACUUUGGGAUAACUUCAGGAAACUGGGGCUAAUACCGGAUAGGAGCUCCUGCUGCAUGGUGGGGGUUGGAAAGUUUCGGCGGUUGGGGAUGGACUCGCGGCUUAUCAGCUUGUUGGUGGGGUAGUGGCUUACCAAGGCUUUGACGGGUAGCCGGCCUGAGAGGGUGACCGGCCACAUUGGGACUGAGAUACGGCCCAGACUCCUACGGGAGGCAGCAGUGGGGAAUAUUGCACAAUGGGCGGAAGCCUGAUGCAGCAACGCCGCGUGCGGGAUGACGGCCUUCGAGUUGUAAACCGCUUUCGCCUGUGACGAAGCGUGAGUGACGGUAAUGGGUAAAGAAGCACCGGCUAACUACGUG
rnacentral:rRNA from 1 species